AUUGAACGCUGGCGGCAGGCUUAACACAUGCAAGUCGAGCGAGCGGCGGACGGGUGAGUAAUGUCUGGGAAACUGCCUGAUGGAGGGGGAUCACUCCUAGAAACGGUAGAUAAUACCGCAUACCCUCAGAUGUGCCCAGAUGGGAUUAGCUAGUAGGUGGGGUAAUGGCUCACCUAGGCGACGAUCCCUAGCUGGUCUGAGAGGAGGACCAGCCACACGGGAACUGAGACACGGUCCAGACUCCUACGGGAGGCAGCAGUGGGGAAUAUUGCACAAUGGGCGCAAGCCUGAUGCAGCCAGGCCGCUUGUGUGAAGAAGGCCUUCGGGUUGUAAAGCACUGUCAGCGAGGAGGCGUUACUCGCAGAAGAAGCACCGGCUAACUCCGUGCCAGCAGCCGCGGUAAUUC
rnacentral:rRNA from 1 species